GUCGUAUCCAUGGUUGGACAUGUAGCGAGCAAAUGAGGACUCUGGAGAAAGGUCAUAUCCAAGAGCAUUGCUUCCAAUCCCUGAUAACAGCAACAGCGGAUGAUUCCUUGAUGGCGCCCGAAGAGAAGGCAAGUAACGCCAGAGCGCAAGUUUCCAAUCAGAGUUAGGAACAGAGACGUAAUGAAGCUCGUCGGCAGUACAGAUCAAACCCUUCUCCUUAUUGACAUUCAAUCCAGACGCCCCGCCGUAAAAUGCCCUGAAGGACUUCACGCCGACCACAUUCCGUCGGCGUAAGGCCCACGAGGGUUCUGAUUUCUGUUGUCCCCAGAAUCGGUGGAGUUGACGACGGCGGUUUUCGCUCCGGCUGAACGAAGAGAGAUCGAAA
rnacentral:misc_RNA from 1 species